CCUACGGGAGGCAGCAGUGGGGAAUAUUGCACAAUGGAGGGAACCCUGAUGCAGCGACGCCGCGUGCGUGAAGAAGUAUUUCGGUAUGUUAAGCUCCAUCUGUAGGGAAGUAGAUGACGGUACCUAACUAAGAAGCACCGUCUAACUACGUGCCAGCAGGCGCGGUAAUACGUAGGGGGCAAGCGUUAUCCGGAUGUACUGGGUGUUAAGGGAGCGUAGACGGUAUGACAAGUCUGAAGUGAAAGCCCAGGGCUUAACCCUGGGACUGCUUUGGAAACUGUCAGACUAGAGUGCUGGCGCGGUAGGUGGAAUGCCUAGUGUAGCGGUGAAAUGCGUAGAUAUUAGGAAGAACACCAGUGGCGAAGGCAGCUUACUAGACAGUGACUGACGUUGAGGCUCGAAAGCGUGGGGAGCAAACAGGAUUAGAUACCCGGGUAGUC
rnacentral:rRNA from 1 species